rnacentral:tRNA from 1 species
GCGGGUAUAGUUUAGUGGUAAAACGAAAGCUUCCCAAGCUUUAGUUGAGGGUUCUUAUUGGACUGCCCGCU